UAUUGAGUUAUACGUCGGCAG
ensembl:piRNA 21ur-1027 ncRNA